AGUGAACGCUGGCGGCGUGCUUAACACAUGCAAGUCGAACGAGAACGGGUUAUAGCUUGCUAUAAUUGUCAGCUAAGUGGCGCACGGGUGAGUAAUGUAUAGGUAAUAUGCCUCUUACUAAGGGAUAACAAAUGGAAACGCUUGCUAAUACCUUAUACUCCUUAUUAACAUAAGUUAAUAAGGGAAAGAUUUAUUGGUAAGAGAUUAGCCUGUAUUGUAUCAGUUAGUUGGUGGGGUAAUGGCUUACCAAGGCUAUGACACAUAACUGGUUUGAGAGGAUGAUCAGUCACACUGGAACUGAGACACGGUCCAGACUCCUACGGGAGGCAGCAGUGGGGAAUAUUGCACAAUGGACGAAAGUCUGAUGCAGCAACGCCGCGUGGAGGAUGACACAUUUCGGUGCGUAAACUCCUUUUAUAUGAGAAGAUAAUGACGGUAUUAUAUGAAUAAGCACCGGCUAACUCCGUGCCAGCCGCCGCAGUAA
rnacentral:rRNA from 1 species